CAGCUGCCGGCUGGGCCUAAACCAUGUCAAGCAGGUAAUGCUGGCCCUUUUCCACCUGGCCCCAAUUCCCUUUCCAUUAGGUGGCACACCUUUAGUGUUGUGGCCCAUUUAUACAAGUGACUUGUUUCAUGUGGUACAUAUGUACAUGCUGUUGAGUGCACACCGUGUUUCUGAUGUGGGAUGCGCAACCCCAGAGUGAACUUUCUGCCUAGGCAGGAGUGACAUAAGGGAGGUGGGAUCAGGAUGAGUGAAGGAGCUGUUCAAUGACAAGAGGAGGACUAAGAACAGACAGACACUUGCAGAAAAAAACCUGGAAGACGAGUGCAGAACAGUGAAGGCAGUUGGAGAAACCAGGAUAUUGGGUGUGAGAGGAGAUCCCUAGGCUGGAAAAGGAGGAGGUUGAUGGAGACUUCAUGAAAACUGCUUGGGGGCAAAGCCUAUCCGUUGGGAACUGAACUGUAUGUGGGUACAGGAGGGCAAGCCAGGUUGUGGAGUAGCCUGAUAUCAGGAAAAUGUGCAUAAGAAGCACUGGGAGAGUCCUGUGGAACAGAGUGAAGCUGUCUUUAGGACUGGAGAACAUGUCUGAAUGCCAAAGGAGGAGGAGAAAACCAUUUUUGAUGCAGUGAGUAGAAGAAUAAAUGAAAGCAGUGAGAGAAUGGGGCUGCUGCAGCAAGGGCUCUUGCUGAGAGAGCUGUGCAGGAUAUAAGGACAGUGUCUGUUUCCGUGCUCUGCUUUUGGGAAGCUAUGGCAGAAGUUCAAAGAGACCUGUGGUGGCGGCAGCAUGGCAGAAACAUGAGGAAUCCUCCUACAGGGUAAAGGGUCUGAAGACUUUGAAGGCAAUUCUCUGGUAGAAGGCACUAGCAUCAUCCUGGCUGUCCAUCCAAGAAUGCUUGCAGCAGUCUUGGAAGGUGAAAGAAAAGGCUCCACCAAACACUGUGUCUUCUGCCAAAGGUUACCAUUAGCCAUGUAUGCUGGGCUGACCUCCUGAGAAUUCAUGAAAGAUGGGAGAAGGCUACCCUGGUCUGUUGUGUCCAUAAUGUCUCUGCUGUGUUUUGAAGUUACACCAGACCUUUGAGGGAUGUCUAUUUGGAUGACGUGCUGGCAGAUCUGCUCUGCAGUGAUUCCCCAAAUAAUUCCAGGGGAGGAUGAGACUCAAAGGGGUAACAGGGUCACUGUCACUUGACUCCUUUUAGUUUGCUUAUACUUUAAAGAAUGCCCUAGGUAACUAUGGACAACUCAAGCAAAGAUUGCUCUAGCUUGUUCCCUGCCCAGCCACUCAGCUUACAUGAAUGUGUGACCCACAGCAGUGCAGGACUUAGGGCUCCAAGUGCCAGGGGACAGUGUCAGGUGGGGAGUCACACUAGGGCAGUAUAGCUGGCAAACCAAAAUGCAGUCUCUGAGGGUGAGCCCAGGGAAGAUGGAAAUCUCCUGUGGAGCAGAAGGGCAAAAGCUCACCUGAUCUUGAUUUUCAGAUUUUUUGUGGAAGAGGGGCCUUAUCAUACUUCUGACUUUCUGUUUAGUAAGCAGAAGGUGUCAUAAAAGUUAUCACCGGGAUGGUAGGGAGGCCAAGUGUUUAUAAUGACACAUAGUUGAAAAUAUAAGUUUAAAAUUGCCUUUUUAAACUUUGUGUCUGCUCUUCUUUUCAGUGUAAGGCAGAAUUCACCAAGCUCUGGAUUGUUCCCCUGCUAACAAGGAGUGUGACCUGGCUUUUGGCUGUUGUAAGAAAGGUUAGUUACAGCUUUAAAAGCAAAACCAAGC
rnacentral:ncRNA from 1 species